rnacentral:rRNA from 1 species
AUUGAACGCUGGCGGCAGGCCUAACAAAUGCAAGUCGAACGAGUGGCGGACGGGUGAGUAAUGUCUGGGAAACUGCCCGAUGGAGGGGGAUAACUACUGGAAACGGUAGCUAAUACCGCAUACCAUCGGAUGUGCCCAGAUGGGAUUAGCUAGUAGUUGGGGUAACGGCUCACCUAGGCGACGAUCCCUAGCUGGUCUGAGAGGAUGACCAGCCACACUGGAACUGAGACACGGUCACGACUCCUACGGGAGGCAGCAUUGGGGAAUAUUGCACAAUGGGCGCAAGCCUGAUGCAGCCAUGCCGCGUGUAUGAAGAAGGCCUUCGGGUUGUAAAGUACUUUCAGCGGGGAGGCGUUACCCGCAGAAGAAGCACCGGCUAACUCCGUGCCAGCAGCCGCGGUAAUUC